rnacentral:rRNA from 1 species
AUUGAACGCUGGCGGCAGGCCUAACACAUGCAAGUCGAGCGAGCGGCGGACGGGUGAGUAAUGUCUGUGAAACUGCCUGAUGGAGGGGGAUAACUACUGGAAACGGUAGCUAAUACCCCAUACCAUCAGAUGUGCCCAGAUGGGCUUAGCUGGUCGGUGGGGUAACGGCUCACCUAGGCGACGAUCCCUAUCUGGUCUGAGAGGUUGACCAGCCACACUGGAACUGAGACACGGCCCAGACUCCUACGGGAGGCAGCAGUGGGGAAUAUUGCACAAUGGGCGGAAGCCUGAUGGAGCAAUGCCGCGUGUGUGAAGAAGGACUUCGGGUUGUAAAGCACUUUCAGCGGGGAGGCGUUAACCGCAGAAGAAGCACCGGCUAACUCCGUGCCAGCAGCCGCGGUAAUAC